AACGUAGGUGGCGAGCGUUAUCCGGAUUUACUGGGCGUAAAGCGUGUGCAGGCGGGGUAUCAAGUGGUGUAUGAAAUCGCUCGGCUUAACCGGGCGCGGUUAUGCCAGACUGAUACUCUGGAGUGCGGGGAGAGGGGCGUGGAAUUCCGGGUGUAGUGGUGAAAUGCGUAGAGAUCCGGAGGAACCCCAGAGGCGGAAGGCGGCGCCCUGGCCCGACACGUCGACGCUCAGACACGGACAGCAUGGGGAGCAACGG
rnacentral:rRNA from 1 species